rnacentral:rRNA from 1 species
CAGCCGCCACGGUAAUACGGAGGGGGCUAGCGUUGUUCGGAAUUACUGGGCGUAAAGCGCACGUAGGCGGCUUUGUGAGUUAGAGGUGAAAGCCCGGAGCUCAACUCCGGAAUUGCCUUUAAGACUGCAGAGCUAGCAGGUGAGAGAGGUGAGUGGAAUUCCGAGUGUAGAGGUGAAAUUCGUAGAUAUUCGGAAGAACACCAGUGGCGAAGGCGGCUCACUGGCUCAUACUGGACGCUGAGGUGCGAAAGCGUGGGGAGCAGACAAGAUUAGAUACCCCCGUAGUCCCUGUCUCUUAUAC